rnacentral:rRNA from 1 species
UACGUAGGGUGCGAGCGUUGUCCGGAAUUAUUGGGCGUAAAGAGCUCGUAGGCGGUCUGUCGCGUCGAAUGUGAAAACCCGGGGCUCAACUCCGGGCUUGCAUUCGAUACGGGCAGGCUAGAGUUCGGUAGGGGAGUCUGGAAUUCCCGGUGUAGCGGUGAAAUGCGCAGAUAUCAGGAGGAACACCGGUGGCGAAGGCGGGACUCUGGGCCGAUACUGACGCUGAGGAGCGAAAGCGUGGGGAGCGAACAGG